AACGAACGCUGGCGGCAUGCCUAACACAUGCAAGUCGAACGAGACCUUCGGGUCUAGUGUCUCACGGUUUCGUAACGCGUGGGAACCUGCACUUAGGGUCAGAAUAACUCCCCGAAUGGGGUGCUAUACCGAAUAAUGUCUUCGUACCAAAGAUUUAUCGACUUUGGAUGGGCCCGCGGUGGAUUAGCUAGUUGCUAGGGUAAAAGCAUACCAAGGCGACGAUCCAUAGCUGGUCUGAGAGGAUGAUCAGCCACACUGGGACUGAGCCACGGCCCAGACUCCUACGGGAGGCAGCAGUGGGGAAUAUUGGACCAUGGGCGAAAGCCUGAUCCAGCAAUGCCGCGUGAGCGCUGAAGGCAUUAGGGUUGUAAAGCUCUUUUAACCGGGAUGAUAAUGACAGUACCGGGAGAAUAAGCUACGGCUAACUACGUG
rnacentral:rRNA from 1 species